GGAAAACAGGCUUCUCUCCAGCUGCCAGGAGUGGCCCAGGCUGGGCGAGCGGCGCGUCUGAGCCAGGGCGCGCGGAGCCGCUCCCAGUUCACGGGCAGAGAAUGAAAAUGUAAUUGUCUCCAGCGCAGCCACCCACUACCCCCACACCUACAAAGAGCAGCAGGGCCUGGAGUGCUUCAGCUUGGUACAUCCUUGCCGGAAAAAGGGACACGGGUUCGAGCCCUGGUCUGGGAAGAUCCCACAUGCCGUGGAGCAACUAGGCCCGUGAGCCACAACUACCGAGCCUGCACAUCUGGAGCCUGUGCUCCGCAACAAGAGAGGCCGCGAUAGUGAGAGGCCUGCGCACCACGAUGAAGAGUGGCCCCCACUUGCCACAACUAGAG